rnacentral:rRNA from 1 species
AACGAACGCUGGCGGCAGGCUUAACACAUGCAAGUCGAACGCCCCGCAAGGGGAGUGGCAGACGGGUGAGUAACGCGUGGGAACGUACCUUUCAGUUCGGAAUAACUCAGGGAAACUUGUGCUAAUACCGGAUACGCUCGUAAGAGGAAAGAUUUAUCGCUGAAAGAUCGGCCCGCGUUGGAUUAGCUAGUUGGUGGGGUAAUGGCCUACCAAGGCGACGAUCCAUAGCUGGUCUGAGAGGAUGAUCAGCCACACUGGGACUGGGACACGGCCCGGACUCCUACGGGAGGCAGCAGUGGGGAAUAUUGGACAAUGGGCGAAGGCCUGACCCAGCCAUGCCGGGAGAGUGAUAAGGGCCCUAGGGUUGAAAAGCUCUUUCCCGGAUGAGGAUAAUGACGGUAGUGGGAGAAGAAGCCCGGGCUAACUUCGUGCAAGCGCCCGCCGAAA